rnacentral:misc_RNA from 1 species
UACGAACUGCCCAAGCGUUAUUCGGAAUCACUGGGCUUAAAGGGUGCGUAGGCGGCGCGACAGGUCCGACGUGAAAGGCCCCGGCUCAACCGGGGAGCGGCGUUGGAAACCUUCGCGCUCGGGUGGACCAGGGGCGUGCGGAACUUCCGGUGGAGCGGUGAAAUGUGUUGAUAUCGGAGGGAACGCCGGUGGCGAAAGCGGCACGCUGGGGUCCGACCGACGCUGAGGCACGAAAGCCAGGGGAGCGAACGGG